UACGGAGGAUGCGAGCGUUAUCCGGAUUUAUUGGGUUUAAAGGGUGCGUAGGCGGUUUUUUAAGUUAGUGGUUAAACGUCGGGGCUUCACCUUGAUUUGCCAUUAAUACUGUAAGACUCGAGUUCAGACGAGGUAGGCGGAAUAAGUUAAGUAGCGGUGAAAUGCUUAGAUAUUGCGCAGAACUCCGAUUGCGAAGGCAGCCUACCGGCUUCUGUCUGACGCUGAGGCACGAAGGCCAGGGGAGCGAAAGGG
rnacentral:rRNA from 1 species